UUGCUGGCCCUCAUAGGGGGCAUGUGCACGCUCUGUUUACACAUCCACUCACACCUGUGCACCCUCUGUAGUUCUAUGGUCUGGGGGACCCUGUCUUCCUUCUGUGGUUCUACGUCUUUACACACACACUGUAAUAAAGUUUUAUGGAAUGUACAUCGCGUCUAACGCAAUACAAUACAACUUUCAGCAACGGAUCUCUUGGCUCUCGCAUCGAUGAAGAACGCAGCGAAAUGCGAUAAGUAAUGUGAAUUGCAGAAUUCAGUGAAUCAUCGAAUCUUUGAACGCACCUUGCGCCCCUUGGCUAUUCCGAGGGGCAUGCCUGUUUGAGUAUCAUGAACACCUCAACUCUCAUGGUUUGCCAUGAUGAGUUGGACUCUGGGGGUUUUGCUGGCCUGUGGUCGGCUCCUCUCAAAUUAAUCAGCCUCCCAGUGUUUGGUGGCAUCACGGGUGUGAUAAAUAUCUACGCUCGCUGUUGUCUGCCAGUAACCUUUGGUCACAAAGGUUUGCUGGAGCUCACAGAUGUCUCUCCUCAGCGAGGACAGCUUUUUUAACGUUCGAUCUCAAAUCAGGUAGGACUACCCGCUGAACUUAA
rnacentral:rRNA from 1 species